CAUGUAGGCGGUUUUUUAAGUCUGAUGUGAAAUACUACAGCUUAACUGUGGGAACGCAUUGGAAACUGAAAGACUUGAAUCAGUAAGGGGUAACCGGAAUUCCUAGUGUAGGGGUGAAAUCUGUUGAUAUUAGGAAGAACACCGAUGGCGAAGGCAGGUUACUGGUACAUGAUUGACGCUGGGAUGCGAAAGCGUAGGGAGCGAACAGGAUUAGAUACCCUGGUAGUCC
rnacentral:rRNA from 1 species